AACGAACGCUGGCGGCAUGCCUAACACAUGCAAGUCGAACGAGACCUUCGGGUCUAGUGGCGCACGGGUGCGUAACGCGUGGGAACCUGCACUUAGGUUCGGAAUAACUCCCCGAAAGGGGUGCUAAUACCGGAUAAUGUCUUCGGACCAAAGAUUUAUCGCCCUUGGAUGGGCCCGCGUUGGAUUAGCUAGUUGGUAGGGUAAAAGCCUACCAAGGCGACGAUCAAUAGCUGGUCUGAGAGGAUGAUCAGCCACACUGGGACUGAGACACGGCCCAGACUCCUACGGGAGGCAGCAGUGGGGAAUAUUGGACAACGGGCGAAGGCCUGAUCCAGCAAUGCCGGGUGAGUGAUGAAGGCCUGAGGGUUGUAAAGCUCUUGUACCCGGGAAGAUAAUGACGGUACCGGGAGAAUAAGCUCCGGCUAACUCCGUG
rnacentral:rRNA from 1 species